CGCAGUGUGGAGUAGUGGUCAACUCAUCGGGCUCAUGACCCGAAAUCGUCAGUUCGAAUCUGACCACUGCA
rnacentral:tRNA from 1 species